rnacentral:rRNA from 14 species
CGUACCCUAAACCGACACAGGUGGACUGGUAGAGAAUACCAAGGCGCUUGAGAGAACUCGGGUAAAGGAACUAGGCAAAAUGGUGCCGUAACUUCGGGAGAAGGCACGCUGGUGGUAAGUGAUACCCCUGCGGGUGGAGCUGAAGCCAGUCGAAGAUACCAGGCCCCUGCGACUGUUUAUUAAAAACACAGCACUGUGCAAACACGAAAGUGGACGUAUACGGUGUGACGCCUGCCCGGUGCCGGAAGGUUAAUUGAUGGGGUUAGCGCUUGCGCGAAGCUCUUGAUCGAAGCCCCGGUAAACGGCGGCCGUAACGAUAACGGUCCUAAGGUAGCGAAAUUCCUUGUCGGGUAAGUUCCGACCUGCACGAAUGGCGUAACGAUGGGGGCGCUGUCUCUACCCGAGACUCAGUGAAAUCGAAAUCGCAGUGAAGAUGCUGUGUACCCGCACCUAGACGGAAAGACCCCGUGAACCUUUACUACAGCUUGGCACUGAACAUUGACCCUACAUGUGUAGGAUAGGUGGGAGGCUUUGAAGCGUUGUCG